rnacentral:lncRNA from 1 species
GCCGUUGCCGUUGCCGUUGCCUUUGCCGCUGCCUUUGCUUUUCAAUUUCCUUGCUUGGCCCCCUGCAUGACUAACGGAUGGGACAACCAAUAUGCCAGGCUCCUGCCCCUUGGCCUCCCUCUACGUCUGUGUCUCUGUUUGUCAUUCAGUCAGUCAGUCAGUCAGUCGGCCCGUAAGCUUGUCUCUCAGCCAGUCAUUCUCUUGGGCCGACACAAGAAAAGGUUGCGGCCCGUUUUCUUUUUCAAUUUAACGCAAAAGUUUUCCAUUGAAAUUCUGCACCGAAAGUUGACCUUUUUGUGUACAAAAUUAAAGACAAAACACAAAGAUUCAAAGGCUGAAAUUCGAUACCAUAUUAAUUAUGUUGGACUUAAGCUACAGUUGGCUGCAAAAUUUGCACAACAAUUGACUUUAACUCUCACGUAAUUGAUUCAAUCAAAACUGCUACAGGAUCAUAUGUACAUAAGUAUUUGUGUUCGGUCUGUCAUUUCCAGGAUUCAUGUACAUACACAAAUGAAUGUAAUACAGAUGCAGUAACAGCAUUCAACACAAAAAUGAAUUGAUUUAAUUUGUGGCCAAAGUGUCGCCCAUUAAACUUCGAUACUAACGAACUAAAAUGUUGC